rnacentral:rRNA from 1 species
GACGUAGGUGGCGAACGUUAUCCGGAAUUAUUGGGCGUAAAGGGUGUGUAGGCGGUUGUUUAAGUUUGGUGUGAAAUCUCCCGGCUCAACCGGGAGGGUGCGCCGAAUACUGAGUGACUAGAGUGCGGGAGAGGAAAGUGGAAUUCCUGGUGUAGCGGUGAAAUGCGUAGAUAUCAGGAGGAACACCGGUGGUGUAGACGGCUUUCUGGACCGUAACUGACGCUGAGACACGAAAGCGUGGGUAGCAAACAGG